rnacentral:rRNA from 1 species
CCCGCACAAGCGGUGGAGUAUGUGGUUUAAUUCGUUGCUACACGAAGAACCUUACCUGGGUUUGACAUAUAGGUUGUAGGGAACUGAAAGGGACCGACCCUUCGGGGAGCCUAUACAGGUGUUGCAUGGCUGUCGUCAGCUCGUGUCGUGAGAUGUUCGGUUAAGUCCGCUAACGAGCGCAACCCUCGUCGUAUGUUAUAUGUGUCAUACGAGACUGCCGGUAAAAGCCGGAGGAAGGUGAGGAUGAUGUCAAGUCAGCAUGACCUUUAUAUCCAGGGCUACACACACGCUACAAUGGUCUGUACAAUGGGUAGCCAAGCCGCGAGGCGGAGCCAAUCCUGAAAGCAGGCCUCAGUUCAGAUUGCAGUCUGCAACUCGACUGCAUGAAGCCGGAGUUGCUAGUAACCGCAGGUCAGCAAUACUGCGGUGAAUACGUUCCCGGGUCUU